CCUACGGGCGGCAGCAGUGGGGAAUAUUGGGCAAUGGGCGCAAGCCUGACCCAGCAACGCCGCGUGAAGGAAGAAGGCUUUCGGGUUGUAAACUUCUUUUCUCAGGGACGAAGAAAGUGACGGUACCUGAGGAAUAAGCCACGGCUAACUACGUGCCAGCAGCCGCGGUAAUACGUAGGUGGCAAGCGUUAUCCGGAUUUAUUGGGUGUAAAGGGCGUGUAGGCGGGAGCGCAAGUCAGAUGUGAAAACUCAGGGCUCAACCCUGAGCCUGCAUUUGAAACGGUGUUUCUUGAGUGCUGGAGAGGCAAGCGGAAUUCGGGGGGUAGCGGUGAAAUGCGUAGAGAUACGGAGGAACACCAGUGGCGAAGGCGGAUUGCGGCAGAGUAACUGACGCUGAAGCGCGAAGGCGUGGGGAGCAAACAGGAUUAGAUACCCCUGUAGUC
rnacentral:rRNA from 1 species